CAGUAGCCACGGGAAUACGAAGGGGGCUAGCGUUGUUCGGAAUUACUGGGCGUAAAGCGCACGUAGGCGGAUAUUUAAGUCAGGGGUGAAAUCCCGCAGCUCAACUGCGGAACUGCCUUUGAUACUGGGUAUCUUGAGUAUGGAAGAGGUUAGUGGAAUUGCGAGUGUAGAGGUGAAAUUCGUAGAUAUUCGCAGGAACACCAGUGGCGAAGGCGGCUAACUGGUCCAUAACUGACGCUGAGGUGCAAAAGCGUGGGGAGCAAACAGGAUUAGAUACCCCCGUAGUCCCUGUCUCUUAUAC
rnacentral:rRNA from 1 species